rnacentral:rRNA from 1 species
UCGGGAAUUUUGUGCAAUGGGCGAAAGCCUGACACAGCAACGCCGCGUGAAGGAUGAAGUCCCUCGGGAUGUAAACUUCGUAAGAAUAGGAAGAAUAAAUGACGGUACUAUUUGUAAGGUCCGGCUAACUACGUGCCAGCAGCCGCGGUAAUACGUAGGGACCAAGCGUUGUUCGGAUUUACUGGGCGUAAAGGGUGCGUAGGCGGCAUAUCAAGUCACUUGUGAAAUCUCCGGGCUUAACUCGGAACUGCCAAGUGAUACUGAUGUGCUAGAGUGCAGAAAGGGCAACUGGAAUUCUUGGUGUAGCGGUGAAAUGCGUAGAUAUCAAGAGGAACACCUGAGGUGAAGACGGGUUGCUGGGCUGACACUGACGCUGAGGCGCGAAAGCCAGGGGAGCAAACGGGAUUAGAUACCCUGGUAGUCCCUGAGCGGGCUGGCAAGGCGCAU